rnacentral:lncRNA from 1 species
GAGAGGAACCUUCGCAUCUUUUCUCCAGUAGUGGAAAAUUCCAGACCUCUGGUUUCACACUGCAAACCAGCACCCACUGCACUAGUUCAGCAGAACAAGAGACGUAAGCCAAUGACUCAAGCUCUUCCUUAAGCUCCGGUCAUAGGACGCGGUAAGACUUGUCAGCACUAUGACAAGGAUCAUUAGGAUUGCCCCUGUCAUCGUCUCAAUAAUACCUGCUGCAUAUGUGAGAAUACUCAACACUACGGGAGAGAAUGUCUGUGGCAUCAAAACUAG